AAUUAUGAUGAUACCUUGCAAACAACAACAAUGAAUUUCUUCAACCGAAAAUUGCAUGUGGAUGCUAUUUGACAGCUUUUUAACCCUGAAU
rnacentral:snoRNA from 1 species